CUCAUUAAAAAUGCUAAGAUAAAUUUUUUUUUCAUUUUAGAUUCAAUUGGUGCAUUAAUAAGAGAUCAUUUUUGGAUUUUCUAAGUAGUUUUCAUAAAAAUUGGGAAAACCCCGGGAAAGAAAAACAAAGAAAUAAUUUAACCGUUUUAAAAAUAUUCUAACUAUUUUUGAGUUAUUUGUAAGCAUUUGAUAUUUUCAAGUCAUUUUUUUAGUUUUUAUUUGGUAAGUAUUUUAUAAAUUAAAUUGGAGAAAUAUACCUAAGAAUAAAUCAACGGAAAACAGUAUGGAGAACGACCAGAGAAAGAAGGAAAAAUGUAUUGGGCAUAUAACGAGAAACAAUGAACGGAUAACGACAAUAAUAGA